GACGAACGCUGGCGGCGUGCCUAAUACAUGCAAGUAGAACGCUGAAGCUUGGUGCUUGCACCGAGCGGAUGAGUUGCGAACGGGUGAGUAACGCGUAGGUAACCUGCCUGGUAGCGGGGGAUAACUAUUGGAAACGAUAGCUAAUACCGCAUAAAAUGGAUUAUCGCAUGAUAAUCGAUUGAAAGGUGCAAAUGCAUCACUACCAGAUGGACCUGCGUUGUAUUAGCUAGUUGGUGGGGUAACGGCUCACCAAGGCGACGAUACAUAGCCGACCUGAGAGGGUGAUCGGCCACACUGGGACUGAGACACGGCCCAGACUCCUACGGGAGGCAGCAGUAGGGAAUCUUCGGCAAUGGACGGAAGUCUGACCGAGCAACGCCGCGUGAGUGAAGAAGGUUUUCGGAUCGUAAAGCUCUGUUGUAAGAGAAGAACGAGUGUGAGAGUGGAAAGUUCACACUGUGACGGUAUCUUACCAGAAAGGGACGGCUAACUACGUGCCAGCAGCCGCCGCAG
rnacentral:rRNA from 1 species